AAAGAUUAAGCCAUGCAUGUCUAAGUAUAAGCAAUUAUACAGCGAAACUGCGAAUGGCUCAUUAUAUAAGUUAUCGUUUAUUUGAUAGUACCUUACUACUUGGAUAACCGUGGUAAUUCUAGAGCUAAUACAUGCUAAAAAUCCCGACUUCGGAAGGGAUGUAUUUAUUAGAUUAAAAACCAAUGCCCUUCGGGGCUCCUUGGUGAUUCAUGAUAACUCCUCGAAUCGCAUGGCCUUGUGCCGGCGAUGGUUCAUUCAAAUUUCUUCCCUAUCAACUUUCGAUGUUUGGGUAUUGGCCAAACAUGGUUGCAACGGGUAACGGAGGGUUAGGGCUCGACCCCGGAGAAGGAGCCUGAGAAACGGCUACUACAUCCAAGGAAGGCAGCAGGCGCGCAAAUUACCCAAUCCCGACACGGGGAGGUAGUGACAAUAAAUACUGAUACAGGGCUCUUUUGGGUCUUGUAAUUGGAAUGAGUACAAUUUAAAUCCCUUAACGAGGAACAAUUGGAGGGCAAGUCUGGUGCCAGCAGCCGCGGUAAUUCCAGCUCCAAUAGCGUAUAUUAAAGUUGUUGUGGUUAAAAAGCUCGUAGUUGAACCUUGGGCCUGGCUGGCCGGUCCGCCUCACCGCGUGUACUGGUCCGGCCGGGCCUUUCCCUCUGUGGAACCCCAUGCCCUUCACUGGGUGUGGCGGGGAAACAGGACUUUUACUUUGAAAAAAUUAGAGUGCUCCAGGCAGGCCUAUGCUCGAAUACAUUAGCAUGGAAUAAUAGAAUAGGACGUGUGGUUCUAUUUUGUUGGUUUCUAGGACCGCCGUAAUGAUUAAUAGGGACAGUCGGGGGCAUCAGUAUUCAAUUGUCAGAGGUGAAAUUCUUGGAUUUAUUGAAGACUAACUACUGCGAAAGCAUUUGCCAAGGAUGUUUUCAUUAAUCAGGAACGAAAGUUAGGGGAUCGAAGACGAUCAGAUACCGUCGUAGUCUUAACCAUAAACUAUGCCGACUAGGGAUCGGACGAUGUUAUUUUUUGACUCGUUCGGCACCUUACGAGAAAUCAAAGUGCUUGGGCUCCAGGGGGAGUAUGGUCGCAAGGCUGAAA
rnacentral:rRNA from 1 species